UGAUGAAGCGUGCAGCAUUUCCAUGCAUGGUGGCAUCCACUACCUCUGAGUCAUCAAUUCGGAACAUAUAGCAACCAAUGCCCUGUACAUGCAGGAGAAAGGAGAAUAACUUGUCAUUUCUUAUAAACUCAGGUUUAAGAACAGUUCCCAAUCUUCUCUUGAUAUUACCUACAGCUGCUGAUAAAGUUUCUUCUAGUAAAAUUCCCAGAUUUCUCCCAGUACCUAUCUUUCAAGAUGCUUCCGUGAGGAGUUCCUAGAUUACAGGCCACUAGUCUAGAGGCUUCUAAUGUCUCUGCGGGAAACAGAAACCUAAAACUUGAAUAGCUAUUUGCUUCUGAUACCAGGAGCCACUCAGACAGACCUCUAAGAGUAACUUUCUAUGCUAAUCCUCAGAGUGGAUUCUGUAUUUUUACUGGGCCCCUCACGAAUUUCAGUUGUUUUUUUUUUUUUUUAAAUUAACAUCUUCGAAUUGGUAACAUACACUAUUUCUUUUGGGAUCCAGGGAUCAUACUGGUCCCUUUCUACAGCAAAACAAAAGAACUGGGUGAGUGCAAGUGGGAGACUUACCUUGCUGUCGUAAUACUUUUCCCGCUUGUCAGUCUGGAUGGAGCGGAUGACGUUGCCGGCAUACUCAAUUACCAUCUCACCUGCAUCAAUGUUUCUCUUACAGAAAAGACCCCGGCCAUGGAUGGGAGACCUAGGACAAAGAUUGAAAAGAGGCACCUACUGCUACUUCAACACAAAUGGAUUUCAGUCUUCUUAAAUCUUAUCCAGGAAAUUCUGAUGCAAACACAUUCCUACAUAGUGCCCUGACCAGCUGGAGGAGAGGGAAAGCAGUUUCUAAUGACUGCACCCCACUCAAGACUUACCGAGCUGACUUCAGCUGUACCUCCUCCUCUUCUUCAUCAUUGGGGUUGUAUUCAGGAGGCUGACGAUGUUUAGAAGCCAGGAAGUUAAACAUGUCAAAUGCUGACUUCCUGGGGCCAAAAGAUGAAAAAGUAUUUACAGAAAUGCUUUAAUAAAGCAGUAAAGGACGAUGGCAUUAACACUGGAAAUCUCAAAGGGUAUGUGGGAAGACGACUGUGUCACGAGAUAAGAAAAUCGAGAUCCAAAACUGCUGACAGAAAAGAAGGGAACUUGCCUGAGGUGGACUUCAGCCCGGGCUGAGCCAUGAGGGUUCAAGGGGGGUUCAUUGGCCUCCUCUGGCUUGUGGAAACGGAAUUUGUAAUUUCGACAGUGCUUGGCACCAGACAGCUGCUCAAUGAGGAACACAACUGCAUCAUGGAGAAUCCCCAGCAUCCUCAAACCAUUAACACCUAGAAGAAUCAGAAGCACUAGGGCAGUGAGGAGUGCAGUCAACAGGAAACAGCACAGUCCUACAGAAAUGCCUAUGCUACAGUCGCUCUGCCAGAGGUUACUCCAGGGUGAAUUAUAGUACAUAUUACCUCGAAAUUAGCAUCAGAUAGCCAUUAAAAUGAUGCUGAUA